rnacentral:ncRNA from 10 species
GACUUUUGGGAAAUGGUUGAUGAGGAAUUCUUUAGCCUUUUUACCAGAAGUCUCUUAAAAGGGAAGUUAGUGAGAAUCUAACACGGUCCCGCCACUGUAAAUGAUUGCAGCAUGGAAAAGUGCCACUGUACGGAUGUAUGGGAAGGCUUCAUGUGGCGAAAAUCAUGAGUCAGGAAACCUGCCAUUCUCUAUACACCAAAU